UAUCUCUGUAGAGUCUGCAUAUCAAUAAGCGGAGGAAAAGAAACUAACUAGGAUUCCCCUAGUGACGGCGAGUGAAGCGGGAAGAGCUCAAAUUUGAAAUCUUCAAGGUUCUACCUUGACGAAUUGUAGUUUAAAGAAGUGUUUUCUGUUGGAGUUUUGGUAAAAGUUCUUUGGAAUAGGACAUCAUAGAGGGUGAGAAUCCCGUAUUUGACCAUUAUUUCCAGCUUUGUGAUACACUUUCAAAGAGUCGGAUUGUUUGGGAAUGCAGUCCAAAAUGGGUGGUAAAUUUCAUCUAAAGCUAAAUAUUGGCGAGAGACCGAUAGCGAACAAGUACCGUGAGGGAAAGAUGAAAAGAACUUUGAAAAGAGAGUUAAACAGUACGUGAAAUUGUCAAAAGGGAAGCGUUUGACACCAGUGUUGUUUUCUCGAAAAUCAAUUAAAAAAGGCAGGAUUUUGUGUUGUAUUGACUUUAUCAGCUUUCUGCACUCUUUUCUUGUCUUUUUUAAUGCACUUUUCGUUUAACAAGUCAACACCAAUUUCUUUUGUUGUAAAAGGGUCAUUGGAAGGUGGCUUUCACUUCGGUGAAAGUGUUUAUAGCCUUUGGCUUCUGCAAUCGGAGAGAUUGAGGUCUGCAGCGUAGAUCCUUCGGGGCUAGAUACAUUAGUGCUAAGUUAUAGCUUUUUAUAGACAACUUGUUGACUAUGAUAAGUCAUGUAGCUUACUCGUUAUGCCUAUUUUACCUACGCUUAGGAUGUUGACGAUCAGCUGAGCGCG
rnacentral:rRNA from 1 species